ACAGCAGUCGCCGCGGGAAAACGUAUGGGGCGAGCGUUGUCCGGAAUUAUUGGGCGUAAAGGGUACGUAGGCGGUUUUUUAAGUCAGGUGUGAAAGCGUGAGGCUUAACCUCAUUAAGCACUUGAAACUGGAAGACUUGAGUGAAGGAGAGGAAAGUGGAAUUCCUAGUGUAGCGGUGAAAUGCGUAGAUAUUAGGAGGAAUACCGGUGGCGAAGGCGACUUUCUGGACUUUUACUGACGCUCAGGUACGAAAACGUGGGGAGCAAACAGGAUUAGAUACCCGGGUAGUCCCUGUCUCUUAUACC
rnacentral:rRNA from 1 species